GUUUGCAAUGAUAUAACGCAGUGCCCGAAAAUAGUCCCCUGCUAUUGAAAGAUACUAUAGGGACUAUUUUCGGCUGCUGUGUAAUAUCAUUGCGCCUCCUGCAGCCACGUUACGGCAACAAAGUCCUUGAUUAUUACGCCAGUAUGAGAGUAUAGUUCCUAUCCUAUUCAAUGGAUUAUGCUAAGCUAUGCUAAAAGUGGUAGCGCCGGAGACCGGCUGCUGAAUUCCAAAACAUUAAGAAUCGAAUGUUUAACUCCAGGGGAGCUGGGAAAUUAGCAUAUUUUCAAAAAAAGUGGAGUGUCGCUUUAAAUAUUCUUUCUUGAUUUUUGUUCAAUCCACCAACAGAGUUCAGUAGAAUCCACUGAAUUGACCCCAACAGAUCAUAUCACCAUGACAGUGGAACUUUUUUCAGCCUUUGCAGUUUGUCAGAUUUUGGAAAGCACCCCUGAGAGGAAAUCCGUAUUAAACCGUUAAAGUGCAAGCAAUUACCAACAAGCAGAGGAGGCUACUUGUGAGACUCCUUGCAUCCCAUCUGCUGGAAACCAAUGGUGAAACCUGAGCCAUCAUCAGACACUAAGAAGGCAUGUGACAAGGCAUUGGUGUAUGAAUUUCCUUGCCUGAAGGAUAUACAGCUGCUAAAGGGGAAACAGCACUGAAGAUGCCAACUCUGCUAGCUCCAUCCAUUUACAAGGGAGGAGGAGAAGUCUUCAGACCUACCACUGUGGAGGCCCAGAGGUCCUUUAUUGACAUGCAACCUGUGGGGACCAACAUGGUGGAAUAUCUGCAAAAUCAGAGAUGUUGCACGUUUUGUGACUUGGGGACGAGCCAAGAAGGACCUGCCAGACCUUUGCCAUUGUUGGAGGCAAUGCCUCUGAGACAAACUCUUUGGUGAAGGAUGUUGAUAAGUUUUUUUUUGUCUUUGAUGUUAACUACACAAAGCAAUAGGUGUGUUCGACUUCAUGCAGCGCUGCGCAGACCGAUCGGCAGGUGACUUGAAGCAGUGCAUUUUGGUUAGUACUUUUGUCCGACUUCAGCUGGCGCUGCAGGCACGUGACUGUGUCAUAUGGUUUUUAAGUACCGCGAGAGCGUUUCGAGAGUAGCCAGCUGGCUCAGCCGGUGCAGCUUCUCCAGAGCGGCUGCCCGGAGUUGUGAUGACGUAACAGCUUUACUUGAUUGGUCGCUUCAUUGAUGACAACGAUCACGUGCGUUUCAAGUUUAAUCCAACCUUUAGUUUCACUAAUAAACAUUAUAAAUUCAUGUUUUAAAACAGGAAAAAAACACUUUAAUAUCCUAAAAUAUGUUAUAUUGUGUCGUGUAAUAAAAUAAAAAUGAAAAUAACAAACUCUAUUGGUAUUUUAAUAAUAUAGGCUUGUUUCCCGUUAUUUUCGGGUAUACAGUUUAAGCAGCAAUUAAAAUAUUCGAUAUAAAAUGUUUCUGGUUGCAACUUUUUAUCAAAAGGUUUGUUUUUAUCAAAUUCAGCAUCUAAUUCACUUAAUUUGCGAUUAUAAACAAGGAAACACGGCGCACACGUCACUACGGCAAGCAGCAGGUGUCCGGCUUGACGGCUCCGUCUUCAGUUCCUCCCUCGACUGCAAGCGGCAAACCUCGUCGAUCGGUCUGCGCAGCGCCGGAUGAUCUCGAACACACCUAUUGUCUUCCCACCUGGGAGUUUCACCAGGAUGCCAUUUAUCAGAUUGAUGGACAUGAGUCCUCCUCUGUUAACAUUUUGAGGACAACAUUUAAUCACUAAUAAUUAACUAUUUCAGUGCUAUGUUUGAAAGAUUCGCCCACAAUGCAAUGCCAACAGGAGUUUACUUACAGGCUGUGAGGUCAAGUGGGAGGAAUUAUGAUAAUUUCGGUCUUGUCUACGUCACCAAUCCCAGGAAGUAAACUGUUGCCUACAAUCUGUGUUUGUUGUAGUCCAAGAAAAGAGAUCACUCGCAUUAUCGUUUACUUUGGGGUUUGUACCUUUUGCAUAUCGUUAACAUGAAUUAAUACACAAUUACACACCAAAGGAAAUGUAAAAAUGUGAAUCGGACCAUAGCUGCUCUUUAAAAAAAAUUUUGUUUCAGGGCUUCUUGUUUUUAAUAACAUUUUGAUGAAUGAAAAUGUAAAGUAAAUGAAAUGCUAAUCAUCAUAGUUUAAAUAUUAAGAGUUAUAAAGUCCGUGGGGAUUGUUUGAUGUCAUAAUGGGGUUGUAACUUUUGUAUUAUACAAAUAUACAAAAAUGUAAUUAAAACAUUGUAUUAAAUGUAAAAAAAAAUUAAAUGCAAUUUAAAUCACAUUAACAGGGGCCUCUCAGUUUUGUUUUACAGGGGGUAUUUGUUACAUUUAUUUUAUAUCUAACAAUUUGUCACAUUGGAAUUUUAAGGUUCAAUCUGACAUUUUUGUCAAAAUUCAGUUAUUCACAUAUUUUUAAUCUGUAACAAUUUAUUUACAUUAUGUGAAGUUAUGUACAUUUUUGGGAUGUUUUU